rnacentral:rRNA from 1 species
AUUGAACGCUGGCGGCAUGCUUUACACAUGCAAGUCGAACGGCAGCACGGGGGCAACCCUGGUGGCGAGUGGCGAACGGGUGAGUAAUAUAUCGGAACGUACCCGGAAAUGGGGGAUAACGUAGCGAAAGUUACGCUAAUACCGCAUAUGCCCUAAGGGGGAAAGCGGGGGAUUCGCAAGAACCUCGCGUUUUCGGAGCGGCCGAUAUCGGAUUAGCUAGUAGGUGAGGUAAAGGCUCACCUAGGCGACGAUCCGUAGCUGGUCUGAGAGGACGACCAGCCACACUGGAACUGAGACACGGUCCAGACUCCUACGGGAGGCAGCAGUGGGGAAUUUUGGACAAUGGGCGCAAGCCUGACGCAGCCAUACCGCGUGUGUGAAGAAGGCC